rnacentral:sRNA from 1 species
GAGAUAAAGCUACCAAGGACUUGGGAGUGACGUGCUGUAAAGGAAUUUUAGGAUGAAUCUUGCAUCAGUGCACAUGAUAAAAGGGAAAGAGUGGCGGAAAGCCAGGAAGUGGAUUCUUAAGAACCACUGAUGGAGUAAGUACAGGGAAAGAGAAAGGAAAGAUGGAUUUAGCCAACUGAAUCUAGGCUGCACACUAUUAAAGCUCAGGGUGGAGGCCAGUCGUGGCUCAUGAACUCUGAGUGUCGGAAGUGUGCUACAUCAAUGGCAGGAUUUUCGCUAACACCAGUAGAGCUUGCCUCUAUGACUGGAGUUUGGUAGUACUCGCUGCCACAUAGAGUAAACUUGGGAAGAAUGUUUGCACAGCCAGGUCAAGUGUUAAAACCCUUCUGCUCUCACUUAGGCAUCUAUAUCAUAAAUCUGAAGAGGACGUGGGAGAAGCUUCUGUUGGCAGCUCGUGCUAUUGUUGCCAUUGAAAACCCUGCUGAUGUCAGUGUUAUAUCCUCCAGGAAUACUGGCCAGAGGGCUGUGCUGAAGUUUGCUGCUGCCACUGGAGCCACUCCAAUUGCUGGCCGCUUCACUCCUGGAACCUUCACUAACCAGAUCCAGGCAGCCUUCCGGGAGCCACGGCUUCUUGUGGUUACUGACCCCAGGGCUGACCACCAGCCUCUCACGGAGGCAUCUUACGUUAACCUGCCUACCAUUGCGCUGUGUAACACAGAUUCUCCUUUGCGCUAUGUGGACAUUGCCAUCCCAUGCAACAACAAGGGAGCUCACUCAGUGGGUUUGAUGUGGUGGAUGCUGGCUCGGGAAGUUCUUCGCAUGCGUGGCACCAUUUCCCGUGAACACCCAUGGGAGGUCAUGCCUGAUCUGUACUUCUACAGAGAUCCUGAAGAGAUUGAAAAAGAAGAGCAGGCUGCUGCUGAAAAGGCAGUGACCAAGGAGGAAUUUCAGGGUGAAUGGACUGCUCCAGCUCCUGAGUUCACUGCUACUCAGCCUGAGGUUGCAGACUGGUCUGAAGGUGUACAGGUGCCCUCUGUGCCUAUUCAGCAGUUCCCUACUGAAGACUGGAGCGCUCAGCCUGCCACAGAAGACUGGUCUGCAGCUCCCACUGCUCAGGCCACUGAAUGGGUAGGAGCAACCACUGACUGGUCUUAAGCUGUUCUUGCGUAGGCUUUUAAGCAACAUGGAAAAAUGGUUGAUGGAAAAUAAACAUCAGUUUCUAAAA